CCUAAUUCUAUGGUAUGGACAGACUUUGGCGCCACCUUGUGUCAAACAUAACCCCUACCCACACACUAGGAUGUGAAGUGACCUGCUCUGAUGGUAGAGAGCCAGUCUGAGGCGCUAAACAUGCCAGUCCUACCCAUUGUGCUGGAUGUGUCGCUGGGUUAAGCAGGUAAAACUGUGCACUGCAAGUGUGCACACUAAGACAGCUACAGUGCCCAGAUUGACAACAGAU